GCCGUGUUGGCUCAAUGGUAGAGCGUCGCCCUCCUAUAGCAGAGUUACAAUUAUGUAACAUGUUUUCGAAAGGCGAAGGCUGCGGGUUCGAGUCCCGUGCUCGGUA